ACUGCCAAGAUGGCGACAACCAUCUCCGCCAAAAAUGAGCUUCAAAACGGGUCUUCAAACACCUAUAACAAGGGCAAGCAAAACAAAGGCUUUAAUGUGGGAGUCCAUAUUGUUUUCCGACUUGGACGCUGGAACACUUCAACUUGGUUUAACUCGGGUGUGACGUCAUUCACAGUUCCGACUUCUGAGGUUUAUUUGGUAGCCAUGGUAACCCAAUAUCAUAGUGGAGCACAUGGAUUUCAAGCUGCAAGUCUGAUGCCUUGAUGUCCAGAAAAGUGUGACAUGGCUCCAAAAGCAGCUGCCCAAAGGUCCAAAUCAUACAGAAAACGUCUAAAAGAUAAUCCUGAGAAAUAUGCACAGUAUCUGCAGAGUGAGAAAGAGAGAUAUCGUAGAAGAAGAGAAACAGGAAAAUUUAAAUCUGUUUCGCUAUUGAGCACACGAGAACACAGAUAUGAAAAAAAGAGAUGGAAAGUUAAU